rnacentral:lncRNA from 1 species
UCGCGGGUAGUAUGUACUGAACAUAGACAUCCAAGAAAAUAGACAUGUGAGAUCAUGUGCAACAUUGAACGCCUUAAAUAGAGAGGGUAGCUAGUGCAACGGCAAAAGACACAAGGUUGUAACUUUCUUCUCAUACAUUGAAGAAAUUCUUUUUGAAUGUUUUAGAUUUUUUAUCUCAACUAGUUCUCUAAAUUAGAUGGGCAAUAAUAUUCAAAUUAUUCUACACAUUAUACGUGAUAAUAAAAGAAAAUAUAAAAGCGGUCGAACAAAAAAACUUUGCUAUUUUCCACUCACUGAGAAUCGGGCAUUCCUAGUGACUUGUUUGUUUACGGUUAUUUAGAACUCAACAAAAAAUUGAUUUUCUACAAAACAACUACAUAUUAUGUCAUGAAAAAUAAACAUGUGGUAGGAGAACAAAAAAGGGUCAAUAGUGUUAAUGGGCUAAAUUCACAACAUAGUUGGAACAAGUGCCAGUCAUAGUUAGAUUUGUCUCCGGUUGGCCCAAAGAGUUGCAUUUUCAAUUUUCGUUUGACAUUACAUGACCAGAUAAAUAUAUUAUGUAUGCUAUAUCAUCGUUUUCUUGUCAAUUUUAGGGACUCUUGUAUGGACGUUUUAACACUUGUGGACACUAGGAGCCCUCCAUGCUCGGAAUUAAGUAGAGAACAUAUGGUCCUCUGCAUCAUGAAAGAAUAUACUCCCAUUGUUCCAAAAUAUUUGAAGUUCUAUGUUUGUCCUAUAUCAAACUUCCUUACAUUGAGGAAGUUUGUAGAAAAUAUACCAACAUUUACAACACCAAAUUAGCUUCAUUAGAUUCGUUAUAACUUAUAUUUUCAUCGAAAAUACACAAUGAAAUAUGGGUCUAUGCGCACCAACAUCAAAAAAAUAUUUUUAACAUAAAAAAAGUCAAACAAUUUUGAAUGGUUUUUGCAGCGAAUAUGCACGUGUAAGGUUUCGCAACGAAACGGCUUUCUGGUCUUCUGUAUGGAGAAAAGAAUUGGUUCUAUUUAAAAGUUACUCUUCAAGUUUUUGAAAUUGCAAUUUUGCUUGUUUCAUCCAGAAAACAUGGAAGUCAUUUCUUAAUGAAACUUCAUAUGCGAGUAGAACACUCAAGACUCAAACAUUAUGGGUUUCUCAAGGGCCGGUCUAUCCACAAUUGUAUCUCAUGGGCUUUUGAAUAUAUAUUCGAUUGCCAAACUUCAAAGCGUGAGAUUUUUUUGCUAAAGAUUUGUAUACCAUUGAACACGUAGUGAUGCUUUAGAUCAUGAGGAACAUGGGGUUCAAUGAGAAGUGUAUUGGUUCUCUCCAUUGCAUCUUCUCCUUGAGAAAUUAAAUCUUCGGUUCUUCUUAAGGCAUCGUUCUCCUUAAUUCCCCUCACGUCGAAUCCUCUUCCUGAAAAAAACUUGUUUGGUAGGUGGAGCGCGGAGGAGGCGUGCGCUUUUGCUGCUCUUGAGGCCGUGCUUCCGCGAGUCCCUCGACGAGGGUUUUGAAAUGCAUGGGUACGAGGGGAAUGGAAGGGAUUAGGGCGGUUGGGUUGUGCAAACACCACGUACCAAAUGGGCCAGCAUGGUUUUGUGGGGUUUCCGACCCUCCUACGGAUUAUCCUCUGAAAACCUCUUCAAUCCCUCUAUGUCAAACGAGGCCUAAUGGGGAUCCAGGGCAUAAAUUUCACUGACAGAUAGGUCCUAUCAAGGCGACCCAUUGUCUCUUGUGAUCUUUCUCCUCACAAGCAAACUAUUACAAUUCACAAUCAAUGAUCAUUUUCACAAUGAAAGGGUCCAACUACCAUUCCCCUGUCCUAGCCAAGUGGAAUAUUCAAUAAUUCAAUACACUGAUGACACGAUCCCUUGCAUGCCAGCCUACCCUUGUCAAAACAUAUUGUCGGAUUAUGAGGCAUACACUGAUGACUCUGUCUAGAGAGCUGGUUGCUAAAGAGGUCAAGCCAUACACUGAUUGCCCUCGGCAAAGACAUAUGGUCGGAUUAUGCAUCAUUGAUCUUAGUAUCAACUUCCACAAGUCUACUCUAGUUCCUCUAAAUGUGAAUGAGCACUUGCGUCAGAUUAUCGCAGACAUCUUCAGUUGUGGGAUAGGCUCGGUGCCAUUUAUCCUUGUCUCCUCCUUAGAACGACACGUCGAACGGUUUAGGAUUUAAUUCCUAUCAUCUGUUGGUCUGAAUGCCGAGUUUCAUCCACUAUGUCAUUGAUGCCAUAUGGAGGAAAGUUGUCCAUCUUAAACUAGGUCAUUACUUCCCCGACCACAUAUGUCCCUUGUACCCUCAAGCCGCCCUCCGCCCUCCAAAAAAAUUAUUAUUAUAGAACUCCUUGACAAAACCCAACUCUAGAUUUUGUAGACCAAGAACUAGUCAGGGAGGAGCGCAAUUCUCUUGUGGCAUGGAUUUUGGUACGCCGUCCAAAAGAUCACGGGGGCCUCGGUGUAAUUAGUCUCCGAGUUCAAAGUGAUGCUCUCCUCAUGAAAUAUUUACAGAAGCUCUACAACAGAAUGCAUUCACCGUGGGUUGAACUUUUAUGGUCCACAUAUAUCAAUUAUGUCCCACAUGAUUCUAAUCCAUGCGAAUCCUUUUGAUGGUGAGAUGUAGUUUUGUCCCAGUUACGGGUCUCCCCCGGACUGAUGUAAGUGUGGAUCCACGACUCUCUUUCAGAAGGGCUUGUGGCAAGAUGAUCUUCUAUGGAACACUCCCCGUCGAGCUUAUUCGUUUAUACUGCAUGAGGACACCACUAUAAAGGAUUUGUUUGGUAUCACAACACUCUCGGAGGCCGGCUUUCAUCUAACUGUUUCCAUGAAAGCGCAUGAGGAGGUGUGUGACUUGCAGCAUCUCACCACGCACGUCUCUCCUUACUCCGAUGAGCAUGAUCUCUGGCAUCAUGUUUGGGGCUCCAUGGAAUUUAGCAGAUGCAGGUACUAUACUGUUUUGCUUCAGGGGUGUCGUAGCAUAUCAGGCUUUUGGGUGGAUUCAGAUAUCCAAAUGAGUUAUGAAGGUCAGAGUUUUUGGCCGAUUGCUCCUUUUUUAUCGCCUCGACCCUAACAACAUGCUCAAAAGACUAUAGUACAACAUUGGUAAUGACUUGAUCUGUUUGCUUUACGGAUUGCACAUUCAGGAAACGCUUGAGCACAUGAUUUUAAAAAGUUCCUUCAAUCGGUCAUAUUGAGCCCUACUAGGAAUACACUGGUUCCCUUCAAAUGGUUCGGAUUCAUGCGGGGCUAUUUCCACCCGAACUGAUUUACACAAUAGCCUCAUCUCUAGCGCUCGCCUAUGGCUUUCCUUAGUGGGUUGGCCCAGUGGACUGGUUUUAGCAAGCUUCUAUGGAGUGGUUCGGUCCAAUUUUAGAAACUUACAUGCGUUUUUUGCAUGGUUCUCGAAGAAGAGAUGGCAUUUUACGGUAAAGAGUGCCUAUUGUUUAGCUAUGAGUAAACAUGAUGAAUCAUUUCUAGGGGUGGGCCGUGUAGCUGCCACCCGGAUGGGGUACGUCCGGUUUGGCAUUGCAUGUGGAAUUCCGCAGUACCUCAAAAAUGAAAAUUAUGGCAUGGAAGGCGGGUGUGGGUAAUCGUGCCACAAACCAAACCAAGUCCUACAGACAUUUAUCAAAACGUGAUACCCACCCCCUGUGUGGUGACAAGGUUGAACGGAGCUUCCACAGUCUUGUUGCUUAUGGGCAUGCAAAGCUACUCUAGGAGCGUAUGUCCUCUGUAUGGAUGCUCGCUAUGAAAUCUCUCUUGAUUGACAAUGGUAAGGACAAGUUACUAAACGUCCUGGCGGUCUAGAUAAUAUGCACGACAUGGUAAUCAUGCUUAUUUUGGCGUAUUUGCUAGCUCCGCAGAAAUAUGGUACUUGGAAAGGAGAUUCCUCCCAUUCAAGCAAUAGCCGAGUACCUUCAUAGCUACAUGAAAUCAUUGAUACACUUGCGGUCUUAUAGCACUAACGAGAUGAUCAAGGGAAAGAGGACAAUGUUUGAGUAUGAACCCAAAUAAGAGGUCAGAUUACCUAGCCCAACAAAACCGCGGCCACAGCCGAACGACCAUGUCGCUCGUUUUGGUCCAUUCCUAGAGUAGGAUGGGAAUGUUGCAAUUGUUAUGGUACUUAGAAGGCAUGAUAGCAAUAUGAGCUUUGCUACUUAUUGGUUUCUCUUCAACUGCAAUGAUGCCCUUGAAGCGGAGAUUCAUGCACUGAUGCAUGGAAUGGUGAUUGUCUUCCAUCAUUUAGUAGAUCCGGUCAUGGUCUAGUCGGACUUCUCUAAGGCAUUGACAAUAUUGUCUGGUGAUGGCUUGUCUCACUCCACGUGUGGCCACCUAGCAGUACAUAUUUAGUCACUGAUAGGGAGUUUAUUACUCAAAAGCGUAGAAGGUAACGACUGGGUAGCAGAUUGAGUGGCAAUGUACAGUUGCACCGAGUGUAGUACUGCGGUAUGCCUAUAAAGAGGACCACCAUGUAUCAUGGAACUUUUGUCGCUUUGUAACCCUAUGAUUAUGAAAUGAAACUCGUUUACCCCCCACAAAAAAAUCCCUCAUGAUAGUCGAGGACAUUGUCCUAUAUAAUGGCCUCACAACACAACAUAAUGUUUGACUGUAAAAUAUAUAUUAAUGUAUGCAUACUAUACUCAUGUACUAACUAUUGAUAUCUUGGUUUUUCCUAUGGCGCUUCUAGUGCCAUGAAGCUAGAGUUGGCUACUACGAGACUAAGUGGUAGUAUUAAUUACCUUUUAUGUUGUUUGUCAUGUUUUUCGUUCUAAAAGCAUGUAUCAUUACUUUCGGAUGUCUUUUCGACCUAUGUAAUGAAUGUUGGUGUGUGCACCUCAUGGUGUAGUGACUGAAAGUUCUCUUUCAUUGAUACCCAAUCAAAAAUCUAUACGUUGAUGGAAAUCAACAUACCACAAACAACAAAGAGGAAAAAUAUCUGUAUUGUGCCCUCUCUCACCUAACCCCUAGGCUCUUAUUUUGCCAAGUUUGUUACUCCAUCCUCUAACAUCAUUGAAUCCGCACAUAGAGUUGCCUUCGACUAUUAACCGGUAAAAGUAGAUUAGAUACCUUGUCAACAUUGAUAGUGCUUGGGAGCAUGUGAUCAUGAUAAACGCUUUGUCCCACAUUCGCCAACAACGGGAAGGGUGCAAGAGUGUCCAUGAUGACAUGCUUUACCUUUGGUUCCAAUUGGAAACACUUGUACUAAUUCUUUCCUUGCAAACAAUCUUAAAAAAAAUCAGUUUCUUCUGGAAGUUCCAGUGUUUUUGCUAAAUCAAAACAGCAUAUAACCAACUCUUGAGACUGCAAAAGAUCAAAGCCAAAAAAAUCUUAGCAAAUCCACACCCAAGUUGCACCAAAUAAGGAAAAUAUCAUAUGAUUGCCUACAAUAAUAACUAGUAUAGCAAAAUGAGUGGAAAACAACAUCGCAAAUGCCCAAUAAUAUUAGAUAAAACACCGAACUUGUCCGUUUAGUUUCAAGGGAAGAAAGAUGCAGUUAUGUGGUUCUAGUAAGAAGCAUCGCCCUUAUCCGCCUUAUAUUCGGUUUCGAGUUUAUAGUGGAUUUCCCAGUAAAGAUCAACUGCACAUCCAAAUUGUGGAUUUAUUGUCAACAUGUGGCCAUACCCCCCCCCCUCCCUCCCUCCCUCUAACUAUCUCUAACCACCCAAUGAACUUUCCUCCAUCAGUUGUGUCACUUCACCCACAUCAGUUUUGUCUUCACCUCCGAGUCCGCUAGUGCCUUCGUAAGAUUGGCAUAUGUGAAAGUGCAUCUAGGCACCCUCUGUGUUUUGGUGAUUAAUGAAAGAACAAUUAAGAGGAAUAAUACAUUCUACUAAGUUUAUUUUAGUAUUUUUCCAAUUUCUAAGUGGAAAUACGAAUGGGGGCCUACUUUUAUUCUUCAAGAGAUGGUUAUAUCCCAAGGCUCUAUUUGUAAUUUUCUAGGAUUUACAUUGAGUCUUAAUUAACAGAACCGUACUGUUAUGAGGCACACAUGCAAAAGAAUUGGGGGUGAACUAUUUUAAAUUUGUCUAAACAUUCUCUAAGUGUUCCACUUUAAUCUCUCACAUUCUCCACAUUUACACCUUCAUGGUACCUUCGGACCAGUUGGUCAAUCCUACGAAACUCAGUGAGCUGUGAGAGUUUUUCUGAGCAGACUACCUUUUUCACAGAGUCUCAUCCGGAACUCUAGAGUAAUUUUCAUGGUACCUCCACGCUUUCAUGCAAUUCAUAUCCACAUUUGUUAGCUUUAGUACCUUAGAGUCUAUUCUUUCCAACACUUCCAAGUACUCUUAGAUUGCUCCGGCAUGCAGUUCUAGUAUAGGUCUAACACUUCUGAGCAAUAUCCAUUUGGUUUAACACAAGUACUAGUAACUAUGGAUGGAGACAUGAUUGAUAUGCCUAGAUAAUGUACGAUUUUUUCUUGUUGGUGUACUUUACUAGUUUACGCAUGUUGGAUUUGUUAGCGGAUGCAGUUAUAAUUUUCAUGUAAGAACUAUAAUCAAGUUAGUUAACCUACAUGAAUAUGCAUCAUUGGUUAAAUCAUUUGGGUCUUCUGCAAAAGAAUAUGAGAUACUAACAACUUGGAAGGAACGAGUGUGCAAUAGUUUGAUAUCCUAAUUGGCCCACCAGAGAUGAGGGAUAGAGCUAGAGACAUGGGAGAGGGUGUAUCUGUUAGGUGGGGCUAUGCAUGUGAAGAGAAUAAGAUGGAUGAACAACCCACGCCAACUCCCCUUUGAUGAAGAAUAUAUGCAUAGUUGGUUAAACCAGUUGGAUCCCUCGCAAAAGUGUAAGAAAUGCUAACAACUUGGAAAGCAACGACAUGCGAUCUUUCGAUCUUCUUGUUGACCCACGAAAGACGAGUAAGAGGGCCCGAGAGGGGGAAUGAUGUUUCUGUUGGGUGCGGCCAUGCAUGGGAGGAUGAUGAGAGGUGAACCAAACCACCAAUUCUCCUUUCAUGGUAAAGAUAUGCAUAGUUGGCUAAACUACUUGGAUCUCCAAUGAACGAAUAUGUUAUAAUAUCAACUUGGAAAGAAACAACAUGCAACUAUUUAUCUUCCUUGUUGGCACACAAGAAAUGAGGGAGAGAACCAAAUAGGGGAGAAAUGACUUAUAUAUCAGGUGGGGCCAUGCAUGGGAGGAGAAGAAGAUGGUAUUGACCGCCACCGCCAGGUCAAGCAAUCUUUUUUGUUCUUCAUAUCUCAACACAUUAAACAUAUCUUGACAUGUGCAUUAAAAAAGUAGUAUAUAUCGCGGGUAGUAUGUACUGAACAUAGACAUCCAAGAAAAUAGACAUGUGAAAUCAUGUGCAACAUUGCACGCCGUAAAUAUAGAGGGUAGCUAGUGCAAUGGCAAAAGACACAAGGUUGUAACUUUCUUCUCAUACAUUGAAGAAAUUCUUUUUGAAUGUUUUAGAUUUUUUUUAUCUCAACUAGUUCUCUAAGUUAGAUGGGCAAAAAUAUUCAAAUUAUUC